rnacentral:misc_RNA from 1 species
CAGAGAACUUGCCCUUCGGGGUAGAUCUCCCACCCUGUGUUUACGUUACCAUUGUUGCUUUGACGGGCCCGUCCCCCUGGGACCGCCGGCUCCGGCUGGCCCGUGCCCGUCAGAGGACCCCAAAAUUCUUAUUUAAACGUCGUCUGAGUACUAUAUAAUAGUUA